AUGCUUGCUUUGGCAGCACAUAUACUAAAUUUGGAAUGAUAGAGAGAAGAUUAGCAUGGCCCCUGUGCAAGGAUGACACACAAAUUCAUGAAGCAUUCCAUUAAAAA
rnacentral:snRNA from 1 species